rnacentral:rRNA from 1 species
UACGAAGGGGGCUAGCGUUGCUCGGAUUGACUGGGCGUAAAGGGCGCGUAGGCGGUUCGUACAGUCAGACGUGAAAUUCCUGGGCUCAACCUGGGGGCUGCGUUUGAUACGUGCGGACUUGAGUGCGGAAGAGGGUCGUGGAAUUCCCAGUGUAGAGGUGAAAUUCGUAGAUAUUCGGAAGAACACCAGUGGCGAAGGCGACUCACUGGACAUGUAUUGACGCUGAGGUGCGAAAGCGUGGGGAGCAAACAGG